rnacentral:lncRNA from 1 species
GUAGAUGCUCUUGAAUAUAUACACAGUAUGGGAUUGAUUCAUCGAGACAUUAAGGUAUUUUGAAAAAGUGGACUGUUGCGUGAAUAAUAUAUGAGGGGUGGGGCAUACUUACAGUUCACUUAUUGGCAGCCAGAGAACCUGCUUCUUAGUUCAGAUGGACAUAUUAAAAUUGCGGAUUUUGGCAGCGUAAAGCCAAUGCAGGAUAGCAGAAGAUGGACAUCUUUUUGGUGGUGAACCUGCUUCUUAGUUCAGAUGGACAUAUUAAAAUUGCGGAUUUUGGCAGCGUAAAACCAAUGCAGGAUAGCAGAAUAACAGUCCUUCCAAAUGCGGCAUCAGGUAAAUAUUGCUUUCU